ensembl:miRNA
GUAAUGGAGUGGAGGCGGGGCUACGUUUUGCCCGAGACUAGAGUCACAUCCUGACACAGCUCUUGUCCUGGUGUGCUAGAGUCCUCGGAGAAAAUCUGCUGGUCUUGAUUCACUGGCGAGG